UGGAUGAUAGCAGGUUUCUACAGAAACAUGCCUUUUCAUAUGGCUACCACAUAUGAUAGGGGUGCGGCUCCUGGUGGAAUAUGAAUCGCAGAGGCGGAGGUUAUGUCUUUCAUUCUGUGAGAGCUGCGGGUGAGGGAGAAGAGCAGACGUUUCUGUGUGAACAGACCCUGCAGAGUCUCCGCGUGCUCGUUCCCGUGCUGUUGGGCACUGCCGUCACCUGAUGUGCGGUAAUCAUUCUCGGGGGGAAAUGUGCACGUCGGGAAAAAUGCAGAUAUUUAAUAUCAAAAAUCGCCCAAGGGUUUUGAUGUUCUACCCAUGCCUGUUGAGAAGUCUGAUGAAACUCUUCUUUUUGUCAUCAUCCUUAUUUUCCUUGCCGUCCCUAAUCAUGGAAAAUUAUCGCCCUGCAGUCAACAUCCUUACUUUGGGGAUGGCAGCACUUACUGCAUUUGGUUUCCAUCUGCCAGGCUCGUAGAAGGUCUGAAAUUUUCAAGGUCGUUUGUGUCUGUCCUGAGCCAGCCUAGAUGUGCCCAUAACUGCUCAAUAUUAAUAGUUUAAUUCUUUUUCUUUCCUACACUGAAGUUCUUUUCCUUACCCUUAAAACAAAACUAAAUUAGAAGUAAAAACAAAAUUUUGUGAAUAGAGUAUAUAGAUAAAAACCAGAAGGAAAUCUCAGAAAUGACACUUUAGUCAACUGUCCCAUAAGAUUAAAGUGCCACAUACUAUCAUAGUUAGAGAGACAACUAUGAGGGUCAUUGAGAAUCGUCACACACUUGACAGAGGAAAAAGAGCCUGGCCAAGACGGGGAAAUGACCAUCCUGGAUCACUCAGCAAAGGCCGGAAGAGACCAUGCCUGAUAACCUGCGGCCCCAUUCUUAGCCCACCACCCUGUAUUUACAUGAGGAUAUUAAAGACGCACCAGCCUUCUCAUAUUUAUCCCACACAAUAAAGUAAACUUAUUUCUUAAUGAUGCUGAUUAUAGAUACACCCUGGAACAUAAAUGUGAAGUCAUCAUAAUGAAAUCUGAAGUCGACUAUGCCAGCACAUGAACUGUCUAUACAUGGGUCUCAACUCGGAAUCACGCGUGAAUACACAGUUUCUGGGUGAUAUAUUCCGUAAUCUUCUGCUGUUGGCUGAAAGCAAUUCAUUUACACUUGAGCUCAGAAGCCUUUGGAAAAGGUCUGCUCAUCUCCUGUCGCUGCUCGCUGAACUCACCAGCAUAUCUCUGAACUGCGGAAGACCACAAUCUUUCUCCUUAAAGACAAACACGGUGUCGGAGACCGGCGUGCUCUCUCCUUUCUCACUGCGUGACAAGCCCCUGCACUUGAGCAGCCUAGGACCCUUGCCUUCAUGGGUUAUGUGCAUAUCUCUCCCUAAACAAUGCACCUAGCAACCUGUUAGCAACCUAGGACCUCUGCCUGCUUUCAGAUGCACACAUGCCUCUGACUUCAAAUGGUGGGAUAAAUUUCUCCUCCUCUCAAUGAGGCAGGAUGGUUUCUAUUCAAUUAUAUGCCAUGGGUAGAGCGGCCAGUGUGGCCUGAACUGGCUUGGGGUACAUGUAGCAAACUGUCCUCUGAGUGCUUUCAGGGAGAAUUUGUUUCUAGCUUAUGCCUAUGCAUAAUUGGUGUGCAUGUGAUUAAAAUCAAAUGCAUUAUGGGACAGAAUAUGCACAGUAGAGAAAUAAUUAUAUAACUUGAAAACUGACAAUUGAAAUAGAGAACCAUCCAAAUUAACAACUAAGCACCUCCUUUUCUUGAACCCCAUGAAAGGAGACCCCAAAAAUAAUCAAUAUCCUUUAAUAUGUUCACUCACAGGGCCCAGUGUCGGUCUUGACAGUAUUUAUUUCUGAUUGGUACAGUCUCUUUGCAUGGGAUAAAGUUAACCUUGCUACUUC